rnacentral:lncRNA from 1 species
UGAAGAUAAACAGUAUGUUUUCUGGAAGCAGAACAAGGCAGAGUAAAGCAGAUCUUCAACUGAUAUAAAUUUGUCUCAUCUCUGUAAAGAUAAUGAAAUUAGCACUAAUUAAAAUUAGCGAAGAUCUGUAUCUCAUACAGACUCCUCAACCGAUCUUCAUGAAGCUAAGCAACUGCACUGGUGACAACAUGCAGUCCUGGCAGCUUCCAUCCAGCACAUGCUUUGGCUGAGUGGAAGCGUGAUGAUUUGCAUCAAAGAGUGGAAAUAAAUCUGUAGAGAAAGCACUGAAGGACAUUUCUAUCCAUGGCGGACAUGUCUAAGUCAUUCAGAAGCCCAGGAGGCUUCAACAGGCUGUUUCAAAGGGAAACUUGGAAUGACCAGUAAGGGUGAAUUAUAUACUUCAUCAACCAUGGCUGGUGAGUAGCUUCAGUCUUCCUGAAAAAAUCAGUUACUGAAUUCUGUAGUUAUGUGUGCCCACAACACCAUCAGAAGGAAGAAUCAGAGAGAUCAGAAGGAAAGAUGUAAAAGGAGCAGAAAAUAAUCCAUUUGGAGAAUAAAUAUGAGCUUGCACUUCUCCCAAGCCACCAUAUCUUUAAAAAGGGAAGGGAUUCCUAUAGUGACUUCAUAGCUAAACUGGCCUGUUCAAGUUACAAUGCGUGUCUUAUCAGGUAUCUCAGUGUUGUUAUGUUCCACAUGGACAAGGCAAAUAUCCUGUCCUGCAGACAAAUGUAUCAAAAGAAGGAGGAAUUAUAAAGGAAAAUAAAAUUAUUUAAAUUUAGGAUUGCUUGUAGUUUUGCAAUCUUGUUUUUUUCCAGUCACAAAAGUCUCUUUCUCUUAUAUGAUAGCUCUUAUCUUAAGGCUAUCAUUCCCUAUUGUGUUUCUUAGCUCUUCCUUAUACAUUUUUUACAAAAUGUUUUGUAUUUUGAAACUAAAUGUGAGAGGACUGAAUUAAAUAAUUAUCUAUGGAAGUGUUAUCUAACUACUGGUAUAUAUUUUAAAUCUUUUUCUGAGAUGUAUAAUAUAUCUCUUUCCUUCUGAGGUAGAAGGUGGGCUAGUACAGUCUCUGUCCCUGCUCUUCACAUAUACUCUUUUUUAUCUCUAUUUUGAAUCAUUCCAGAAUAAUUUUAUACUGUGGAGAAUGUUACUGAUUCUGAUCAAAGUUGUAAUCAUUUUGAGCACUACAUCAUGUUUAUCUCUAUCAUAUAUAUUUGUUGAGCCAUAACUCCAUUAUUUGAGUGAUGUUUCCCACUGCUGAAAUACAGAAGGUCUGUUUGUGAAGUCUAAUGAAAAUGGCAAAGUGCAGAACUGCUUCAGAUCUUAUGUUGGCUUCCCCUCACAAACUUCAUGUUGAAUUACCACCAAGAAAAAAAGGCACAGCAAUGAUGCUGUGAAAGCUUCACAUUCUUCUGUAUUUUUGGAAGAGAUCAAUGAUAAUAAAAGGUAUGGAGGAAGACACUCUGUUAUCUAUGUUCUCCUUUAAAUGCUAUGUCAGUUGAUAAUUCUUCCUUUUAUGCCUGUCACUGAUAUCUAUUGCU